rnacentral:rRNA from 1 species
UACGUAGGUGGCAAGCGUUGUCCGGAUUUACUGGGCGUAAAGAGCGCGCAGGCGGUCGAUCAAGUCACGUGUGAAAGCCCCCGGCUCAACUGGGGAGGGUCACGCGAUACUGAUCGACUCGAAGGCAGGAGAGGGUAGUGGAAUUCCCGGUGUAGUGGUGAAAUGCGUAGAUAUCGGGAGGAACACCAGUGGCGAAGGCGACUACCUGGCCUGUUCUUGACGCUGAGGCGCGAAAGCUAGGGGAGCAAACGGG